rnacentral:rRNA from 1 species
GAUGAACGCUGACAGAAUGCUUAACACAUGCAAGUCAAGGUGGCGGACGGGUGAGUAACGCGUAAAGAACUUGCCUCACAGCUAGGGACAACAUUUGGAAACGAAUGCUAAUACCUGAUACUGUGAGAGAGCUUUGCGUCCCAUUAGCUAGUUGGAGAGGUACCGGCUCACCAAGGCGAGGAUGGGUAGCCGGCCUGAGAGGGUGAUCGGCCACAAGGGGACGGAGACACGGCCCUUACCCCUACGGGAGGCAGCAGUGGGGAAUAUGCCGAAAUGGACGAAAGUCUGACGGAGCAACGCCGCGUGAGGGAUGACGGCCCUCGGGUUGUAAAGCUCUGUUAAUCGGGACGCGGUACCGGAAUAGAAAGCCACGGCUAAAUACGUGCCAGCAGCCGCGGUAAUUC